UACGGGGGGGGCAAGCGUUGUUCGGAAUUACUGGGCGUAAAGGGCUCGUAGGCGGCCAACUAAGUCGGAUGUGAAAUCCCCAGGCUCAACUUGGGAACUGCAUCCGAUACUGGAUGGCUUGAAUUCGGGAGAGGGAUGCAGAAUUCCAGGUGUAGCGGUGAAAUGCGUAGAUAUCAGGAGGAACACCGGUGGCGAAGGCGGGUCUCUGGGCCGAAAUUGACGCUGAGGAGCGAAAGCGUGGGGAGCGAACAGG
rnacentral:rRNA from 1 species